rnacentral:rRNA from 1 species
GACGAACGCUGGCGGCGUGCUUAACACAUGCAAGUCGAACGGAAAGGCCCUGCUUUUGUUGGUUUCUCGAGUGGCGAACGGGUGAGUAACACGUGUGUAACCUGCCCUUGACUUUGGGAUAACUUCAGGAAACUGGGGCUAAUACCGGAUAGGAGCUCCUGCUGCAUGGUGGGGGUUGGAAAGUUUCGGCGGUUGGGGAUGGACUCGCGGCUUAUCAGCUUGUUGGUGGGGUAGUGGCUUACCAAGGCUUUGACGGGUAGCCGGCCUGAGAGGGUGACCGGGCACAAUGGGCCUGAGAUACGCACCAGACUCGUACGGGAGGCAGCAGUGGGGAAUAUUGCACAACGGGCGGAAGCCUGAGGCAGCAACGCUGCGUGCGGGAUGACGGGUUUCGGGUUGUAAACAGAUUUCGAAUGUGACGAAGAGUGCGUGACGGUAAUGGGUAAAGAAGCACCGGCUAACUACGUG